AGAGUUUGAUCCUGGCUCAGAUUGAACGCUGGCGGCAUGCUUUACACAUGCAAGUCGAACGGCAGCGCGGGGCAACCUGGCGGCGAGUGGCGAACGGGUGAGUAAUAUAUCGGAACGUACCCUGGAGUGGGGGAUAACGUAGCGAAAGUUACGCUAAUACCGCAUACGAUCUAAGGAUGAAAGCAGGGGACCUUCGGGCCUUGUGCUCCUGGAGCGGCCGAUAUCUGAUUAGCUAGUUGGCAGGGUAAAAGCCUACCAAGGCAUCGAUCAGUAGCUGGUCUGAGAGGACGACCAGCCACACUGGAACUGAGACACGGUCCAGACUCCUACGGGAGGCAGCAGUGGGGAAUUUUGGACAAUGGGCGCAAGCCUGAUCCAGCAAUGCCGCGUGAGUGAAGAAGGCCUUCGGGUUGUAAAGCUCUUUUGUCAGGGAAGAAACGGGUUGGGCUAAUAUCCUGAUCUAAUGACGGUACCUGAAGAAUAAGCACCGGCUAACUACGUGCCAGCAGCCGCGGUAAUACGUAGGGUGCAAGCGUUAAUCGGAAUUACUGGGCGUAAAGCGUGCGCAGGCGGUUUUGUAAGACUGUCGUGAAAUCCCCGGGCUCAACCUGGGAAUGGCGAUGGUGACUGCAAGGCUAGAGUUUGGCAGAGGGGGGUAGAAUUCCACGUAGCAGUGAAAUGCGUAGAUAUGUGGAGGAACACCGAUGGCGAAGGCAGCCCCCUGGGUCAAAACUGACGCUCAUGCACGAAAGCGUGGGGAGCAAACAGGAUUAGAUACCCUAGUAGUCC
rnacentral:rRNA from 1 species